GGGAGCCCGGAGCCGGGGCUGCAGCGGGCAGGGAGGACGCGGGCGGCGGAGCGGCGGGAUGCGGCGGUGCCGGGCGGCGGCGCUGGCGGGGCUGGCCGCGGUGCUCCUGGCGGCUCUGGGCAGAGCCCAGGUGCAGCAGGACCCGUGGGCAGAGACCACCGAGGGCACCGGCAUCAGCAUCAACUGCUCACACCCCAACAUAGGGCUUUACGAGUUCAUCUAUUGGUACCGUCAGCUCCCGGGCCGUGGCCCCGCAUUCCUCGUGAGCGUUCUUCAAGGCUCCAAAGUGCUGCUGGACCCGCCGGGGCGGCUCUCGGUGGCGGCAAAACGCCGGUUCAGCGUCCUGUGGCUCUCUGGGCCCCGGCUCCGGGACUCGGCGGUGUACUACUGCGCCCACGAGACACGGAGAUGGAAGCCGGGUCUGCGGCAGAGCACGAACCCCCGCGGGCGGGGCCGGGUGCGUGUGUCGGAGGGGUGGGACAGAGCCGUCGGGGCCCCCAGGCGGCGCCCCAGGUGCCUUUAG